rnacentral:rRNA from 1 species
CCCUUAGAUGUCCUGGACCGCACGCGCGCUACACUGAUGCAUUCAACGAGUAUUUCCUUGGCCGAGAGGCCUGGGCAAUCUUUUAAACCUGCAUCGUGAUAGGGAUAGAUUAUUGCAAUUAUUAAUCUUGAACGAGGAAUUCCUAGUAAACGCAAAUCAUCAAUUUGCAUUGAUUACGUCCCUGCCCUUUGUACACACCGCCCGUCGCGCCUACCGAUUGAAUGGUCCGGUGAAAUCUCGGGAUUGUGGCCAGUUCACUUUAUUGGGAGUUGGCUGCGAGAACUUGCUUAAACCUUAUCAUUUAGAGGAAGGUGAAGUCGUAACA